rnacentral:rRNA from 1 species
UACGAAGGGGGCUAGCGUUGCUCGGAAUUACUGGGCGUAAAGGGCGCGUAGGCGGACAGUUAAGUCAGAGGUGAAAGCCCAGGGCUCAACCCUGGAAUAGCCUUUGAUACUGGCUGUCUUGAGUGCGGGAGAGGUGUGUGGAACUCCGAGUGUAGAGGUGAAAUUCGUAGAUAUUCGGAAGAACACCAGUGGCGAAGGCGACACACUGGCCCGUAACUGACGCUGGGGCGCGAAAGCGUGGGGAGCAAACAGG